CGGGUGAGUAACGCGUGAGGAACCUGCCUCAAAGAGGGGGACAACAGUUGGAAACGACUGCUAAUACCGCAUAAGCCCACGGCUCGGCAUCGAGCAGAGGGAAAAGGAGUGAUCCGCUUUGAGAUGGCCUCGCGUCCGAUUAGCUAGUUGGUGAGGUAAUGGCCCACCAAGGCGACGAUCGGUAGCCGGACUGAGAGGUUGAACGGCCACAUUGGGACUGAGACACGGUCCAA
rnacentral:rRNA from 1 species